CUCUAGCCCCGAUAGGAACGGUUACCCCGCAACAGGGAGUUGGAGUGCCGGAGGGUUUGAGCCAAGGAGUGUAAGGCGUGAGGAGUAUGAGUGGAUAGCGGGAAAUAGC
rnacentral:misc_RNA from 1 species